CGCUUUUUGUAAAGAUUAAAUGGAAAGUAGAGCCUGCCCAGUGAAGUAAAUUUAAACGGCCGCAGUACCCUGACUGUGCGAAGGUAGCAUAAUCAUUUGCUCUUUAAUUGGGAGCUGGAAUGAAUGGUUUGACGAGGGCUUAACUGUCUUAAAUUAAUUUGUUAAAAAUUGACUUUUAGGUGCAGAGGCCUAAAUUUGGUUAUAGGACAAGAAGACCCUAUUGAGCUUUAAUUUAAUUGUUUAAGUAGAAAUAUAUAUAUAGAGUUUAAUUAAAUAAUAAAUUUUGAUUGGGGCGAUCAAGGAAGAAACUAAUCUUCCUUUUGUAGUUAAAAAUUAUAUAAAUUAAAGAUCCAGAAUAUUUCUGAUUGUAAGAAUAAGUUACCAUAGGGAUAACAGCGUAAUCUUUUUUGAGAGUUCUUAUCGAAAAAAAGGGUUGCGACCUCGAUGUUGGAUUAAGGUUUCCUGAAGGUGUAGCAGUUUUCAAGGGUUGGUCUGUUCGACCAUUAAAACCUU
rnacentral:rRNA from 1 species